rnacentral:misc_RNA from 1 species
GAUGAAGAACGUAGCGAAAUGCGAUAAGUAAUGUGAAUUGCAGAAUUCAGUGAAUCAUCGAAUCUUUGAACGCACAUUGCGCCCGCCGGUAUUCUGGCGGGCAUGCCUGUCCGAGCGUCAUUUCAACCAUCAAGCCCCGGGCUUGUGUUGGGGACCUGCGUCCGACGCAGGCCCUGAAAACCAGUGGCGGGCUCGCUGUCCACACCGAGCGUAGUAACUAACCUCGCUAUGGAGUGGCGCGGGCGCCUGCCGUAAAACCCCCAAUUUCACAAGGUUGACCUCGGAUCAGGUAGGAAUACCCGCUGAACUUAAGCAUAUCAAUAAGCGGAGGA